UACAGAGGGUGCGAGCGUUAAUCGGAAUUACUGGGCGUAAAGCGUGCGUAGACGGCUAUCUAAGUCGGGUGUGAAAGCCCCGGGCUCAACCUGGGAAUUCAUUCGAGACUGAAUAGCUAGGGUACGGUAGAGGGAAGUGGAAUUUCCGGUGUAGCGGUGAAUGCGUAGAUAUCGGAAGGAACAUCAGUGGCGAAAGCGACUUCCUGGACCAGUACCGACGUUCAGGCACGAAAGCGUGGGGAGCAAACAGG
rnacentral:rRNA from 1 species